rnacentral:lncRNA from 1 species
ACUGGAACAAGCUCGUGGUGUCUACGAGCAUGCUUUAAAGAUAAAGAGGCGUGUCUUAGAGGAGGUUCAUCCAGACUAUGCUGACACUAUGUAUCAUCUGGGAACAGUAAGGCCACAGUUUCUGCUCUACUUCAUCUUUAUAUAUUUCUGAUGGUUGGCAUAAAAGUAUACUUUCUGAUACACAGUAAGUUUGGGGCACAACAUGCCAAUGCUUUUAUAUUGGUCACAAACAGCUUAUAACCAGUCUGAAAUGGAGGCCCACACAAAAUGAUGGAGAAUUGGGCAAUGUUACAACUUCAAUUGAACAAGCGAAUAGCAGAAAUAGAGAUACAUUGUAGCUAGCAAACAAUUAACCAGAGGGAUACACAAUUUUGUUCAUGGACUUGAUUACUUGACUAUCUUUCUCUCUAUCUCCUGUGUUUAUCCCAAUAUGACUGGAAUAAUGCAUUCUAUUGGUUUCGAUACAAAAUCAAGAAAUAAAGACAUCUUUUCUUAAAUGAAAACACAAGAAGACAGAGGAGAAAAAGGCUACCAAAUGAAUCACCUUACCAAGCUGACAUAUCAAACUUUAAAAGAAGAGAUCUCCUUCUCAGCUGCCUCUUAUGCAAGAUCUCUAAUCAAUCCCUUUUUUCUCCUACAACUGCAUGCAUUUCAUUCGUUCAAGUUCUGUUUUAUCUUUAAUUAAGCCAGUUUUUCAGAUACCAACUUUCCAUAUGAACCGAAAUUAAUUUUACUUUCCUCUUUCAAAAAAUGAAAUGAAUUUAGAGAUAGUCAUAAUUGCUCCGACUUCAAUGCCCAUCUGAUCUCCUCUAAUGAUUGAGAGUUUAGGAAUAUGCCUCAAAUCAAUGUAAUGAUCAUAUUGCUGAGCUAAAGAGUGUCACAUUUCUUAAUGCAUAUCAGCUAAAUUAAAAUGACAAAAUUACCCUUAGAGCACAAGCAGGCAUGUUGAAACCUAGCCUUUUCUAAUAUAUUAGAAAGUAGAAUAUUGAUCAUCUCAACAAAAUUAUUACUGAAGUAAAAUCUAACACAAAGAAAACUGGAACAAGCUCGUGGUGUCUACGAGCAUGCUUUAAAGAUAAAGAGGCGUGUCUUAGAGGAGGUUCAUCCAGACUAUGCUGACACUAUGUAUCAUCUGGGAACAGUAAGGCCACAGUUUCUGCUCUACUUCAUCUUUAUAUAUUUCUGAUGGUUGGCAUAAAAGUAUACUUUCUGAUACACAGUAAGUUUGGGGCACAACAUGCCAAUGCU